rnacentral:rRNA from 1 species
GACGAACGCUGGCGGCGUGCUUAACACAUGCAAGUCGAACGGAAAGGCCCUGCUUUUGUGGGGUGCUCGAGUGGCGAACGGGUGAGUAACACGUGAGUAACCUGCCCUUGACUUUGGGAUAACUUCAGGAAACUGGGGCUAAUACCGGAUAGGAGCUCCUGCUGCAUGGGGGGGGUUGGAAAGUUUCGGCGGUUGGGGAUGGACUCGCGGCUUAUCAGCUUGUUGGUGGGGUAGUGGCUUACCAAGGCUUUGACGGGUAGCCGGCCUGAGAGGGUGACCGGCCACAUUGGGACUGAGCUACGGCCCAGACUCCUACGGGAGGCAGCAGUGGGGAAUAUUGCACAAUGGGCGGAAGCCUGAUGCAGCAACGCCGCGUGCGGGAUGACGGCCUUCGGGUUGUAAACCGCUUUCGCCUGGGACGAAGCGUGAGUGACGGUAAUGGGUAAAGAAGCACCGGCUAACUACGUG